UCGGGAAUUUUGGGCAAUGGGCGAAAGCCUGACGCAGCAACGCCGCGUGAGUGAUGAAGGCCUUCGGGUCGUAAAGCUCUGUCGGAGGGAACGAAUGCUCUUGAGGUUAACAGCCUCGGGAGGUGACGGUACCCUCAAAGGAAGCACCGGCUAACUCUGUGCCAGCAGCCGCGGUAAUACGUAGGGUGCGAGCGUUAAUCGGAAUUACUGGGCGUAAAGCGUGCGCAGGCGGCCGCGCAAGUCAGGUGUGAAAUCCCCGGGCUUAACCUGGGAAUUGCGCUUGUAACUGGCAGGCUAGAGUGUGGCAGAGGGGGGUGGAAUUCCACGUGUAGCAGUGAAAUGCGUAGAUAUGUGGAGGAAUACCGAUGGCGAAGGCAGCCCCCUGGGAUAACACUGACGCUCAUGCACGAAAGCGUGGGGAGCAAACAGGAUUAGAUACCCACGUAGUCCCUGAGCGGGCUGGCAAGGCGCAU
rnacentral:rRNA from 1 species